UGGGGAAUUUUGGACAAUGGGCGAAAGCCUGAUCCAGCAAUGCCGCGUGUGUGAAGAAGGCCUUCGGGUUGUAAAGCACUUUUGUCCGGAAAGAAAUCCUUGGCUCUAAUACAGUCGGGGGAUGACGGUACCGGAAGAAUAAGCACCGGCUAACUACGUGCCAGCAGCCGCGGUAAUACGUAGGGUGCAAGCGUUAAUCGGAAUUACUGGGCGUAAAGCGUGCGCAGGCGGUUUGCUAAGACCGAUGUGAAAUCCCCGGGCUCAACCUGGGAACUGCAUUGGUGACUGGCAGGCUAGAGUAUGGCAGAGGGGGGUAGAAUUCCACGUGUAGCAGUGAAAUGCGUAGAGAUGUGGAGGAAUACCGAUGGCGAAGGCAGCCCCCUGGGCCAAUACUGACGCUCAUGCACGAAAGCGUGGGGGAGCAAAACAGGAUUAGAUACCCUGGUAGUCCACGCCCUAAAACGAUGUCAACUAGUUGUUGGGGGAUUCAUUUCCUUAGUAACGUAGCUAACGCGUGAAGUUGACCGCCUGGGGAGUACGGUCGCAAGAUUAAAACUUAAAUGAAUUGACGGGGUCAUAGCUGUUUCCU
rnacentral:rRNA from 1 species